CAGUAGCCACGGUAAUACGUAGGUGGCAAGCGUUGUCCGGAAUUAUUGGGUGUAAAGGGCUCGCAGGCGGUUUCUUAAGUCUGAUGUGAAAGCCCCCGGCUCAACCGGGGAGGGUCAUUGGAAACUGGGAAACUUGAGUGCAGAAGAGGAGAGUGGAAUUCCACGUGUAGCGGUGAAAUGCGUAGAGAUGUGGAGGAACACCAGUGGCGAAGGCGACUCUCUGGUCUGUAACUGACGCUGAGGAGCGAAAGCGUGGGGAGCGAACAGGAUUAGAUACCCCGGUAGUCCCUGUCUCUUAUAC
rnacentral:rRNA from 1 species